rnacentral:rRNA from 1 species
GUGUCAGCAGCCGCGGUAAUACGAAGGGGGCUAGCGUUGUUCGGAAUCACUGGGCGUAAAGCGUACGUAGGCGGACGAAUAAGUCAGGGGUGAAAGCCUGGAGCUCAACUCCAGAACUGCCUUUGAUACUGUUCGUCUUGAGUCCGGGAGAGGUGAGUGGAACUGCUAGUGUAGAGGUGAAAUUCGUAGAUAUUAGCAAGAACACCAGUGGCGAAGGCGGCUCACUGGCCCGGUACUGACGCUGAGGUACGAAAGCGUGGGGAGCAAACAGGAUUAGAUACCCUGGUAGUCC